GGCCUAACACAUGCAAGUCGAGCGAUGAAACCCUUCGGGGUGGAUUAGCGGCGGACGGGUGAGUAACACGUGGGUAACCUGCCUCAAAGAGGGGAGUAGCCUCCCGAAAGGGAGAUUAAUACCGCAUAAUAUGUUUUGGUCGCAUGACCGAGACAUCAAAGGAGUCUUCUUCUUAGGAAGAAGCAUCCGCUUUGAGAUGGACCCGCGGCGCAUUAGCUAGUUGGUGAGGUAACGGCCCACCAAGGCAACGAUGCGUAGCCGACCUGAGAGGGUGAUCGGCCACAUUGGAACUGAGACACGGUCCAGACUCCUACGGGAGGCAGCAGUGGGGAAUAUUGCGCAAUGGGGGAAACCCUGACGCAGCAACGCCGCGUGAAUGAUGAAGGCCUUCGGGUUGUAAAGUUCUGUCUUCUGGGACGAUAAUGACGGUACCAGAGGAGGAAGCCACGG
rnacentral:rRNA from 1 species